rnacentral:rRNA from 1 species
GUAGGGAAUAUUGGGCAAUGGUCGGAAGACUGACCCAGCCAUGCCGCGUGCAGGAAGACGGCCCUCUGGGUUGUAAACUGCUUUUAUCUGGGAAGAAAAAGGCCAUGCGUGGCAAAUUGCCGGUACCAGAUGAAUAAGCACCGGCUAACUCCGUGCCAGCAGCCGCGGUAAUACGGAGGGUGCGAGCGUUGUCCGGAUUGAUUGGGUUUAAAGGGUGCGUAGGCGGCUGAUUAAGUCAGCGGUGAAAGACUUCGGCUUAACCGGAGCAGUGCCGUUGAUACUGGUUGGCUUGAGUGUCGGAGGGGUACAUGGAAUUGAUGGUGUAGCGGUGAAAUGCAUAGAUACCAUCAGGAACACCGAUAGCGAAGGCAUUGUACUGGCCGACAACUGACGCUGAUGCACGAAAGUGUGGGGAUCGAACAGGAUUAGAUACCCUUGUAGUCC